GCCACCACUAUCUAUACGAGGGGUUUUAAUGAGCCACUCUUUAAUUUUGGAAGAAAAUAUUAAAAAAAAAAAAACUGUAACUCGCUCAGAAAUCCUCCAGAACGACAGGAGACAUGGGAUUUAAUGCAUUGGGAGACGAGCUUGACAGGCUGGCAAAAAAUAGCUGUCCAGGAUAAUUACCUAGGUAAAGCAGCUUCUAUCUGCUUUCUGAGCGGCCUUCAUUUUGGGCGAGACUGGUAAAGACAAGUUACUACAGAAUCCAGCUCAGAAGGGCUACAAUUUCGACAUUCUUUUAGUGCUAAUGGUGUUGUGGUAGUGGGACAAAGAGCAGGAACUCUGAAAGGGUUUUACUGGCACGGAGCACCAGAGUGACAGUUUGAAGGUUACAUUACCUUAUGAAGAAGUUGUCUGCCGUACCUUAUGAAGAUAAUUGAUCAGCUGCUGAAUUGAAUUCUGGGGUGAAGAAAAUUGUUGUAUCUUGCACGUUCAUUCGCCUUCUGAAGAAAAGUUUUACACGUGCCUUUAUCUCUUGAAGAAAAACGGAUUUGCAUAAAUCUCAAUUUAUUUUCAAAUUAAUUCCUGCAUGAAUAUGUAUGCUUAUGCACACUGGACCAUUUGGAUUGAAUGGCUCUGCUUUUAGCGAUUCUUGCAGCUGCUUUCAGUAUCUUUAGUUCUGACAUUGCUGUUACUAGAACUUCGAAGUCUGCUUUAACGCAUAAAGGGAAAUGUAAGAUCUGUUCUCAGUGACCAGAUUUGGGGGUAUGUCUGUAGCCCCCUUCCUCAGGAGAAUAUAGGAUGGACUGAUAUGCCAUCCAUGUUAUCUGUACGGCGUUUACAGUCUUCUAAACUGGAAAGAUUUGCAAUAAAAACAAAUUUCAAAGAACCUUGCAGUUUUAAAAAUAUGCCACGGCAUGAAAUUUUAUCUA